UACGUAGGGGGGCUAGCGUUGUCCGGAAUCAUUGGGCGUAAAGCGCGUGUAGGCGGCCCGAUAAGUCCGCUGUGAAAGUCCAGGGCUCAACCCUGGGAUGCCGGUGGAUACUGUCGGGCUCGAGUCCGGAAGAGGAGUGUGGAAUUCCUGGUGUAGCGGUGAAAUGCGCAGAUAUCAGGAGGAACACCAAUGGCGAAGGCAGCACUCUGGGACGUGACUGACGCUGAGACGCGAAAGCGUGGGGAGCAAACAGG
rnacentral:rRNA from 1 species